AUGCUGUCCUUGAGGCUGAGGUAGUAGAUUGAAUAGUUGUGGAGCCUUAUUCUCCCUCUGAGCUAACUAUACAAUCUACUGUCUUUCCUAAGGAGACAGUAA
rnacentral:pre_miRNA from 1 species